UAAAAGUUUGAUUCUUUCUUUGAUCUUUGUGUUCCUAUUGAAAUUGUAUGAGAGUUAUAGUAAGUAUUUACUUUUAAUUUAAGAUAAAAAGUUGUGAAAAUUAGAAUGAAUAUAUAUGUAUUCUAUAGGAGCAUCAAUUCUCAGCAUGUAAUAUUAAAAAAUAUAUAAUUGUAUGAAUUAGUAAUAGGUUAAGGCCUGAUUAAAUAUUGUGCCAGCAUUCGCGGUUAGACUUUAAGGCUAAGUGAAGAAAUAUUGGUUUAUUGUUAAAUGAAAGGUUAUAUUAGUUCUAAGAAAAUAAAAAGUGAAAUUGGGCUGUUUUUCUGAGAAGAUUUAAUAACUUUAAUUGAAGCAAGAAAGCUUUAGAUUUAAACUAGGAUUAGAUACCCUAUUAUACUAAAAAAUAACUUUAAUUAAACCUAAUUAUUAAUAGAUAUUUUCUUUAAAUUUGAAGAAUUUGGCGGUGAUUUAAUCUUAUCAGAGGAACCUGUUUUUGAAUCGAUAAACCACGUAUAAUCUUACUUGGUUUUGUUUUUAGCUUGUAUACCGUCAUUAUUAGAUGAUUUUUAUAGAAUAAAUCAUUGAAUUAGUUGAUAAUGUCAAUAAAAUUAGAUCAAGGUGCAGCUAAUAACCAAGUUAAAAUGGGUUACAAUAGAAAUUGAACUAUUACGGAUAAAUUAAAAAAUUUAAUUUAGAAGGAGGAUUUGAUUGUAAAAUAGGUUUAACAUGCCUUGUAGAUAUAAGUUCUAAAUCAUGUACAUAUCGCCCGUCGCUUUCAUUAUGAAAAUGAGAUAAGUCGUAACAUAGUAGGUUCACUGGAAAGUGAACCUAGUUCAA
rnacentral:ncRNA from 1 species